AUUGAACGCUAGCGGGAUGCUUUACACAUGCAAGUCGAACGGCAGCGCGGACUUCGGUCUGGCGGCGAGUGGCGAACGGGUGAGUAAUGUAUCGGAACGUGCCCAGUAGCGGGGGAUAACUACGCGAAAGCGUAGCUAAUACCGCAUCCGCCCUACGGGGGAAAGCAGGGGAUCGUAAGACCUUGCACUAUUGGAGCGGCCGAUAUCGGAUUAGCUAGUUGGUGAGGUAACGGCUCACCAAGGCGACGAUCCGUAGCUGGUUUGAGAGGACGACCAGCCACACUGGGACUGAGACACGGCCCAGACUCCUACGGGAGGCAGCAGUGGGGAAUUUUGGACAAUGGGGGCAACCCUGAUCCAGCCAUCCCGCGUGUGCGAUGAAGGCCUUCGGGUUGUAAAGCACUUUUGGCAGGAAAGAAACGUCGCGGGCUAAUACCCCGUGGAACUGACGGUACCUGCAGAAUAAGCACCGGCUAACUACGUG
rnacentral:rRNA from 1 species